CUUGACAGCACGAUCGAGGAAGACUACCCACGGAAGAAGGCUAAGGUCGUAGACCCGCAAGAUGUCCGAGGCGACGGCGGCUUUGGAGGCUACCACCACUCGGGGGCGAGUGCGGAGAAAGCUCUUGGGGCGUCUCCCAAGGCGAAGAUGUUAGCGAGAGCACGUGCAGUAAGGAGUGUGCUCCCUCGUCGGGAGAGGAGUCCAAGAGGUCGGCUCUUCCGGAGUCGAUGCAAGAUCUUUACUGUGUCCGAGCGUGAACCAAAAAAGAGCCUUUCCAGACCCUAUCAAUGGGUGAAUUACCUAAUGGCAAGGCGGAGACUCCCCUCGAGCUGCAAUGGUCGGGGCUGACCGUGGGGAGCCGUGUGUGGACCAACGGCUUCUUGUCCUCGGUGUAUGUCCGAGGUGCGCUCAUGUCGGCAAUAUCUAAGCAGGUGUAUACCUCCUUGUCGGAGGUGCUGAUCAACAAAGUCACCAAGUCCUUGGUCUGGAACCAGCACUACUACAUGCGGCUGAUAGAUCGGGUUUAUGAUGCGGGUCGGGUAAUCAGCGGUAAGGCGAGCUACGAGAAUAGCUCACGGAGGCUCAACGCAUGUUAAGGAAUCCCAUGGGAGGGUCCGCUCAAUGGAGGGUGAGCUAUUGGACUUGUCGUCGGGCCUGGAGGCCGCUCGAGCAGAGACGAAGAAGGCCGAGGAAGCCCUCACCGAGAAGACCCAAGUGGCACUUGAAAAGGGCAAGAGGACCAUAUCAGAGUACAAGAAUUCGUGUGCUUUCAGCUCGGUCUACAAAGAUCAGGGCAGGUUACUUAUGAAUACGAGUACCGAGAUGGCGAUCGAUCUAGUAUUAUUUUGUUUUGUAUGUCACAACCGGUCGGCCUAUGUAAACCCUUUUGGUUAUUAAUGCAACUCUAUGUUCUGAACCAGCCUAA